rnacentral:rRNA from 1 species
UCCGGAUUUAUUNGGCGUAAAGCGAGCGCAGGCGGUUAGAUAAGUNUGAAGUUAAAGGCUGUGGCUUAACCAUAGUACGCUUUGGAAACUGUUUAACUUGAGUGCAGAAGGGGAGAGUGGAAUUCCAUGUGUAGCGGUGAAAUGCGUAGAUAUAUGGAGGAACNCCGGUGGCGAAAGCGGCUCUCUGGUCUGUAACUGACGCUGAGGCUCGAAAGCGUGGGGAGCGAACAGGAUUAGAUACCCUGGUAGUCCACGCCGUAAACGAUGAGUGCUAGGUGUUAGGCCCUUUCCGGGGCUUAGUGCCGCAGCUAACGCAUUAAGCACUCCGCCUGGGGAGUACGACCGCAAGGUUGAAACUCAAAGGAAUUGACGGGGGCCCGCACAAGCGGUGGAGCAUGUGGUUUAAUUCGAAGCAACGCGAAGAACCUUACCUGGUCUUGACAUCCCGAUGCCCGCUCUAGAGAUAGAGUUUUACUUCGGUACAUCGGUGACAGGUGGUGCAUGGUUGUCGUCAGCUCGUGUCGUGAGAUGUUGGGUUAAGUCCCGCGACGAGCGCAACCCUUAUUGUUAGUUGCCAUCAUUCAGUUGGGCACUCUAGCGAGACUGCCGGUAAUAAACCGGAGGAAGGUGGGGAUGACGUCAAAUCAUCAUGCCCCUUAUGACCUGGGCUACACACGUGCUACAAUGGCUGGUACAACGAGUCGCAAGUCGGUGACGGCAAGCUAAUCUCUUAAAGCCAGUCUCAGUUCGGAUUGUAGGCUGCAACUCGCCUACAUGAAGUCGGAAUCGCUAGUAAUCGCGGAUCAGCACGCCGCGGUGAAUACGUUCCCGGGCCUUGUACACACCGCCCGUCACACCACGAGAGUUUGUAACACCCGAA